rnacentral:rRNA from 1 species
GCCUACGGGAGGCAGCAGUGGGGAAUAUUGCGCAAUGGGCGAAAGCCUGACGCAGCGACGCCGCGUGAGGGAUGAAGGUCUUCGGAUCGUAAACCUCUGUCCGCAGGGAAGAACGGUCACUGUGCUAAUCAGCAGUGAAUUGACGGUACCUGCAAAGGAAGCACCGGCUAACUCCGUGCCAGCAGCCGCGGUAAUACGGAGGGUGUGAGCGUUAAUCGGAAUUACUGGGCGUAAAGCGCUCGUAGGCGGUAUGUCAAGUCACGGGUGAAAUCCCCGCGCUCAACGUGGGAACUGCCUUUGAAACU